rnacentral:rRNA from 1 species
UACAGAGGGUGCGAGCGUUAUUCGGAUUCAUUGGGCGUAAAGCGCAUGUAGGCGGUUCAAUAAGUCUGAUGUGAAAUCCCAGAGCUCAAAUCUGGAAGUGCAUUGGAUGCUGUCGGACUAGAGUGCAGGAGAGGAGAGCGGAAUUCCUGGUGUAGAGGUGAAAUUCGUAGAUAUCAGGAGGAACAACAGUGGCGAAGGCGGCUCUCUGGACUGUUACUGACGCUGAGAUGCGAAAGCGUGGGGAGCAAACAGG